rnacentral:rRNA from 1 species
GACAGAGGGUGCGAACGUUGUUCGGAAUUACUGGGCGUAAAGCGCGUGUAGGCGGCUACGCAAGUCGGGCGUGAAAUCCCACGGCUCAACCGUGGAAGUGCACUCGAAACUGCGUAGCUAGAGUCCUGGAGAGGAAGGUGGAAUGCUUGGUGUAGAGGUGAAAUUCGUAGAUAUCAAGCGGAACACCGGUGGCGAAGGCGGCCUUCUGGACAGUGACUGACGCUGAGACGCGAAAGCGUGGGGAGCAAACAGG